GCUUCUUGCAUGGUAGUGUAGGAAGGAAAGAGAUGUGAGGGUGGAAUGAUCUGAUGUGUUUAGUUGGAGCUGAGGUGAAUUGACAAGCAGUAACUUGAACUUGUGUCUUUAAAUCCCUUGAAAAUGUUCCCAAGGAAGAAAUGGACAAGGACAGGCCUGGCGUUUUUAGGAAGUGUCCAAUAUUAUCUACAAAUAGGUUCAAGAAAUCACAUUCAUGGUGUUUACUUUUGCUAGAAGAAUCUGAACUGGCUAUGGCUCACCUUGGAARACUUUAAAUGUUUUUAGAGUGUUGUUGUCUAAUGAAAACCUUAAGGAUAAACUUUAGUUACGUCAUUCUACUUCAUCCCUCCAAAACAUAUUGUUUUCUGCCAUGUGUCUGCCAUGAUGUCAGACUGUAACACAUUCUUAUCUGCACUUCAACCCUGAGGUAGUAAAUGCACUGAGAUUUGUAUGGUCAUUUUGUACAUCUCCCUAAUUUGCUUGAUGAGGCUCAGCUGUGCACCUUGUGGUGUGAAGACCAGGGCUCAGAAGAGGAAUACAAUCCCACAAUACAACACUGGAUCUGUAUGAACCUUUGAAACCUGUUUGAACCUCGCUUUUGGUGGAUCCCAUCAUUCUAAUAAAAACCUGAACUGAAAACUGUGGAUUAGAGGCACUGCCAACAGCAGUAAGGAAUGGAGCUGCUGAGGUGUGGAAUGUGGAAACCACCCUCACAAUGUUGCUGUUGGACCAGCAUUCUGGCAGGAAAAAUCCUGCCAUCAGACAUUGUGACAAAGCUUCUUGUGCUAUAAUGGAGACGCUGAGGGGCGGUCAGACUUGGAGAGGCGCCGGUCUGCUCCCAUUCCACCUCUGUACAAAUACCUCAGUGGAACUUGUGUGGAGCUUCCAGACCCCCGGACGCUUCUUCCCACCCACCCUUCAUUUCAUCGUUUGACAAUGUUUGAAUCACAUUUUACACACGUCGGAUUCAUCUGGAGUAGAAAGUGUUUUUUUUUUUUUUUUUUUGGCUCAUUUUCAGGUGUUUCCAAGGACUGUUGCAGACUAAAAUGACACUGGUUGGAGAGCAGACUAACGCACACUCAGGUCUCCUCUUGCAGGAUUUUCAAGCUGGUGAUGUUUUUUCCUGCGCACAUGCUCCCCCUGGAUACAGACACCCCUUGUGAAGCAACAUGGCACGUUGAAAAGACAGACUUUAUUGCUAAAAACGUGUAACCAUAACAUGUACACUGAUAUGUCUUGUUUUGUUUUCAAUUCAUUUCUUUAUUUUUUGUCAUUUUUUAAGAAAUAUUUAAGUCUUCCAUAUUUUUUUGUCUGGUAUAUUCUGCUAUUCUCUUUUCCCUUAUGCUCUAUUACUCACAAAUCGUUAAAAUAAUAAAUAAAACGUACAGAUCUGUUCAUUCCUACAAUACUAUCCAAAAAAAAGCUGAGUUCACGCCUUUAUAUAUAAUC